AAGUCGUAACAAGGUUUCCGUAGGUGAACCUGCGGAAGGAUCAUUAAAAAUGAAGCCGGGAAACCGGUCCUUCUCACCCUUGAUUAUCUCAAAUUGUUGCUUUGGUGGGCCGCGCAAGCACCGGCUUCGGCUGGAUCGUGCCCGCCAGAGGACCACAACUCUGUAUUAUAUGUCGUCUGAGUACUAUAAAAUAGUUAAAACUUUCAACAACGGAUCUCUUGGUUCUGGC
rnacentral:misc_RNA from 1 species